UCUAAGGAGUCAUGCAUCUGGACAGAGAUGAGUUUCACUUCUAGUUCUCCAGGGAAAGUGUUCUUCUGGCGGGAAACGAGACCCUAUUUAGGUGUUUUGCCGCGAAGGAAACCUUGCGGAGUCAACUCGUCAGCUUGAGGAGUGAGAUCGUGUGUGGACUUCGUAAUCCCAGCUCCUUGUUCCCGAACCAAGUUUCAAGCCGCUUGUUUCACGGACCUUGCCACGGACCUUGUUCUUGUUCCUUGUUGCCUAGUAUCAAGUCUUGUUUAGCCAAGAAUCUAGUUGUUUUCCAGCCUUGUUGUCAAGCCUCAAUUGACUAAAAGACCUUGUCAUCUCCCCACACUUUGCUUGGCAAGUGUGUGUUUCGGUUAUUGGAUUAUAACUUUGGACUUUAAUAUCACAUAUUGGACAUUGUUUUCCUGGACUAUAUUUGACCUUUCCUGAAAGGUCUACUUCUGAACUAUAUUCUUCACUUGUUUUUAUUGACUUUAUAUAUUUCCUUAAUAAAGAUAUUAGAUAGAUUCUGGUCUCUGCGCAUGGUUAUUGGUGCUCUGCAGCCUGGGUCCUGACACCGGCCCGGCUCAACGUGUGGGCUUUGCUGCCGGCGGCUUUUUUCUUUCUUUUCUUUUCUUUUGUUUCUGCUGCCUCUCGGCCUACGUGGUCGAGUUUCCCUCGAUGCACCGCAUCUCUCUUCUCUCGCGGCUGUCCUUCCAUCCAUAUUUGGGCAAUUAUUCCCAGAUCCUUCCUUUGGGGCGGGGUCCUCUGUUUUUUUUUCUCUCUCUCUCUCUGGGGAUGCAUGCCGGCCAACUGUGACCGGCCCGGCUUAAUGUGUGGGGGCCUUGCUGCCGCCGGCUUUUUUCUUUCUUUUCUUUUCUUUUGUUUCUGCUGCCUCUCGGCCUACGUGGUCGAGUUUCCCUCGAUGCACCGCAUCUCUCUUCUCUCUCGGGUUGUCCUUCCGUUUAUAUUUGGGGCAAUUAUUCCCAGGAUCUCUUCCUUUGGGGCAGGGGUCCUCUUUUUUU
rnacentral:lncRNA from 1 species